rfam:Brachypodium distachyon strain Bd21 chromosome 3, whole genome shotgun sequence.
GUUCCUUCGGGGGCAUCCGAUAAAAUUGGAACGAUACAAAGAAGAUUAGCAUGGCCCUGCGCAAGGAUGAGACGCACAGAUUGAGAAAUGGUCCAACUUUUU